rnacentral:rRNA from 1 species
ACUCAAAUGAAUAGACGGGGGCCCGCACAAGCGGCGGAGCAUGUGGCUUAAUUCGAUGCAACGCGAAGAACCUUACCAGGGCUUGACAUGCAGGGAAAUCCCGUGGAGACACGGGGUCCGCAAGGGUCCUGCACAGGUGGUGCAUGGCUGUCGUCAGCUCGUGUCGUGAGAUGUUGGGUUAAGUCCCGCAACGAGCGCAACCCUCGUCCUAUGUUGCCAGCGGGUAACGCCGGGGACUCAUAGGAGACUGCCGGGGUCAACUCGGAGGAAGGUGGGGACGACGUCAAGUCAUCAUGCCCCUUACGUCCUGGGCUGCACACAUGCUACAAUGGCCGGUACAAUGGGCGGCGAUACCGCGAGGUGGAGCGAAUCCCAAAAAGCCGGUCUCAGUUCGGAUCGGGGUCUGCAACUCGACCCCGUGAAGCCGGAGUCGCUAGUAAUCGCAGAUCAGCAAUGCUGCGGUGAAUACGUUCCCGGGCCUUGUACACACCGCCCGU